GACGAACGCUGGCGGCGUGCUUAACACAUGCAAGUCGAACGGGAAGGCCCUGCUUUUGUGGGGUGCUCGAGUGGCGAACGGGUGAGUAACACGUGAGUAACCUGCCCUUGACUUUGGGAUAACUUCAGGAAACUGGGGCUAAUACCGGAUAGGAGCUCCUGUUGCAUGGUGGGGGUUGGAAAGUUUCGACGGUUGGGGAUGGACUCGCGGCUUAUCAGCUUGUUGGUGGGGUAGUGGCUUACCAAGGCUUUGACGGGUAGCCGGCCUGAGAGGGUGACCGGCCACAUUGGGACUGAGAUACGGCCCAGACUCCUACGGGAGGCAGCAGUGGGGAAUAUUGCACAAUGGGCGGAAGCCUGAUGCAGCAACGCCGCGUGCGGGAUGACGGCCUUCGGGUUGUAAACCGCUUUCGCCUGUGACGAAGCGUGAGUGACGGUAAUGGGUAAAGAAGCACCGGCUAACUACGUG
rnacentral:rRNA from 1 species